UAUGUUACGCCGGUCUGAACGGGAGUCGUUGAUGUUGACUAAAAUGUAAGUUCUAGCUUUCUAACAUUA
rnacentral:tRNA from 1 species